UACAGAGGGUGCUAGCGUUGUUCGGAAUCAUUGGGCGUAAAGGGCGUGUAGGCGGUUUUGUUAAGUCAUGUGUGAAAUCCCUCGGCUCAACCGGGGAACGACGCAUGAAACUGGCAAGCUAGAGUACCAAAGAGGGGGGUGGAAUUCCCGGUGUAGCGGUGAAAUGCGUAGAUAUCGGGAGGACACCUGUGGCGAAGGCGGCCCCCUGGUUGGAUACUGACGCUGAUACGCGAAAGCGUGGGGAGCAAACAGG
rnacentral:rRNA from 1 species